rnacentral:rRNA from 1 species
CAGCAGCCACGGUAAUACGAAGGGGGCUAGCGUUGUUCGGAAUUACUGGGCGUAAAGGGCGCGUAGGCGGCCAUUCAAGUUAGAUGUGAAAGCCCUGGGCUCAACCUAGGAAUUGCAUUUGAUACUGUUUGGCUUGAGUUCGGGAGAGGUGAGUGGAAUUCCCAGUGUAGAGGUGAAAUUCGUAGAUAUUGGGAAGAACACCAGUGGCGAAGGCGGCUCACUGGACCGACACUGACGCUGAGGCGCGAAAGCGUGGGGAGCAAACAGGAUUAGAUACCCCUGUAGUCCCUGUCUCUUAUAU